rnacentral:miRNA from 12 species
CUGGUGGACCGCGGAACAUGUG